ACCUGGCUGGCUCAGUCGGUGGAGCAUGGGACUCUUGAUCUCAGGGUUGUGAGUUUGAGCCUAACAUUGGGUG
rnacentral:tRNA from 1 species